rnacentral:rRNA from 1 species
AGUGAACGCUGGCGGUAGGCCUAACACAUGCAAGUCGAACGGCAGCACAGUAAGAGCUUGCUCUUACGGGUGGCGAGUGGCGGACGGGUGAGGAAUACAUCGGAAUCUACUUUUUCGUGGGGGAUAACGUAGGGAAACUUACGCUAAUACCGCAUACGACCUACGGGUGAAAGCAGGGGAUCUUCGGACCUUGCGCGAUUGGAUGAGCCGAUGUCGGAUUAGCUAGUUGGCGGGGUAAAGGCCCACCAAGGCGACGAUCCGUAGCUGGUCUGAGAGGAUGAUCAGCCACACUGAAGCUGAGACACGGUCCAGACUCCUACGGGAGGCAGAGGUGGGGAAUAUUGGAAAAUGGCGCAAGCCUGAUCCAGCCAUACCGCGUGGGUGAAGAAGGCCUUCGGGUUGUAAAGCCCUUUUGUUGGGAAAGAAAAGCAGCAGGUUAAUACCCCGCUGUUCUGACGGUACCCAAAGAAUAAGCACCGGCUAACUUCGUG